AGCGGAGGAAAAGAAAAUAACAAUGAUUUCCCUAGUAACGGCGAGUGAAGAGGAAAGAGCUCAAAGUUGGAAACUGUUUGGCUUAGCUAAACCGUAUUGUAAACUGUAGAAACAUUUUCCUGGCACACCAGAUUAAUAAGUCCUUUGGAACAAGGCAUCAUGGAGGGUGAGAAUCCCGUCUUUGAUCUGAGUAGUUGUCUUUUGUGAUAUGUUUUCAAAGAGUCAGGUUGUUUGGGAAUGCAGCCUAAAUUGGGUGGUAAAUCUCACCUAAAGCUAAAUAUUUGCGAGAGACCGAUAGCGAACAAGUACCGUGAGGGAAAGAUGAAAAGAACUUUGAAAAGAGAGUUAAACAGUAUGUGAAAUUGUUAAAAGGGAACCGUUUGGAGCCAGACUGGUUUGCUUGUAAUCAACCUAGAAUUCGUUUUGGGUGCACUUGCAGGCUAUACCUGCCAACAACAGUUUGAUUUGGAGGAAAAAAUUAAUAGGAAUGUAGCCUCUCGAGGUGUUAUAGCCUAUUAUCAUACUCUGGAUUGGACUGAGGAACGCAGCGAAUGCCUUUAGGCAAGAUUGCUGGGUGCUUUCGCUAAUAAAUGUUAGAAUUUCUGCUUCGGGUGGUGCUAAUGUUUAAAGGAGGAACACAUCUAGUAUAUUUUUUAUUCGCUUAGGUUGUUGGCUUAAUGACUCUAAAUGACCCGUCUUGA
rnacentral:rRNA from 2 species